rnacentral:misc_RNA from 1 species
AGCCAAGCAUCAUGUCCAAAAGCAACCAAGCCCCCAUUGGGUUCAGCGCUGCUCCCCCUCCCUCAGCACCCCCCAGCUAUGCCCAAGCCAUGGGAGGUGUUCCUCCCCAAGCUCCUUACUACCCCCAGCCAGCUCCCCCUGGGGUGUACGGACACCCUGACACCCAGCAGCCUUUCCUCAAAGAUCAAGCUCGCCCGACGAUCGUGACGACGAUUGUGCCGCUGGGUCGUCAGUCGACGCACAUGAUCUGCCCGCACUGCCAGGCUGAGAUCAACACUGCUACCAAAACUGCGCCCUCCCGCACCGCCUGGCUCGCCAGCCUCCUCAUUUGCCUCCUCGGGUGCCCCAUAGGUUGCUGCCUCAUCCCCUGCUGCAUCCCCAGCUGUAUGACCGUCAAGCACAAGUGCCCCAACUGCCACACUUCGCUCGGCAAAUUCGUCGAGCCUUGAAAACCUCGUCCUGCCACUCUUGUCCUACAGCUCUUGCCCUGCAGCUCUUGUCCUGCAGCUCUUGUCCUGCAGCUCUUGUCUGCAGCUCUUGCCCUGCAGCUCUUGUCCUGCAGCUCUUGUCCUGCAGCUCUUGUCCUGCAGCUCUUGUCCUGCAGCUCUUGUCUAGCAGCUCUUGUUCUUAAACUCUUGUAUUCGAAGCAAGGUCCCGUUGUAUAAACAGUAACUAGAAGCAUCAAUGGCUCGAAUCAUAGCCAAAAUAUCAGGAUUUUUACUUAGACUUGGAAGGAUCGAGUAAGGUCUCGGUCAGACAGCAGUCACAAUCCAAUGUCCUGCCUCCGACGAGCUUGGGUCGUUAGGUCCGAGCUAGUUUGUCUGGUAGAGUUGCUGGGGCGCUGGGCCUUCUUUGUUAUUGGAGCCUCAAAUGAACUGCUAAUGACGUGCUUCAGAGCACGUUUCAUGUACUCGUCCCUACACCUCCUCGCUUUAAACAUGUUGAUUACUGAACGCAGAGUUUAGGAAGACCACAAGAGCAGGGAUGGUUGCUGAGAACUUCGUUGUAGGUGACGACACUCAGGGAAUUCAAGGUCAAAGUUUUGUCCAAUAAAACCUUGCAUUUUUCUGUUAAUAUUGUAGUCCCCUUCAAUGCUUGUGUGCUUAUUCUGUGAAACGCUUUCGAUUUGUAAGCUAUGUAUUUUCGACGAGUUCAUUUGUUCGUUUUGCAUGUCAUUUGGGCACACUUUGAAGAGCGUUACCAUCUCUCGAACUUAUGGUGUUCUUCUUCAGUAUACUUUUAUGCCCUGCCCAUUCUCCUUCAGUACGUAUACUUCUCAUUCUUCUCCAUUCAUCUUCAGUAAACAUCUCAGUUUUGCCCAUUCUUCCUCAGUAUACUCAGUCUCUCCCAUUUGUCAGCAUUUUUCUCCUUGCUCAUUUAGAAGGACAGUUUUUGAAACCAUAUUUGCCGCCGUUUGUAAUUUGAAUAUGAUUGAGUUGUAUCGGCGCCUCCACCACAAGAAACAUUGACACUCGCCCUCUUCUAACCAUGGUUGCAUUUCGGCCGUCGCCCCCGCCAUGAGAGCCCCAGGUCCGCCACCACCGAACUCUCACACCGAACUCUCGAAUGUCCUCUGGGAUGCUGCCUCAUCCCCUUCUGCAUGGAUGACUGCAUGAACACCGAGCACAACUGCCCCAACUGCAAGGCUUACCUG